rnacentral:rRNA from 1 species
CAAUAGCGUAUAUUAAAGUUGUUGCGGUUAAAAGCUCGUAGUUGGAUUUCUGCCGAGGACGACCGGUCCGCCCUGUGGGUGAGCAUCUGGAUCGGCCUGGGCAUCUUCUUGGAGAGCGCAUCUGCACUUAACUGUGUGGAUCGUACUUCAAGUCAGUUACUUUGAGGAAUUGUGAGUGUUUCAAGCAGGCUUACGCCGUUGAAUCCGUUAGCAUGGAAUAAUAGAAUAGGACCUCGGUUCUAUUUUGUUGGUUUUGAGAGCUGGGGCAGCGAUUGAUAGGGACGGAUGGGGGCGUCCGAACUUUACUGUCAGAGGUGAAAUUCUUAGAUCGGUCAAAGGCGAACUACUGCGAACGCAUUCGCCAAGAAUGUUUUCUUUAAUCAAGAACGAAAGUUAGGGGAUCGAAGACGAUCAGAUACCGU